UUUCAAGUUGAUGUUUUCGAAAAUCGACAAACUUGAAUUUUCGAUAAACUUGAAAGGCUCUCUGAAAGCGAAAGGAAGAGCACAAGAAAACACGUUGACACGGACGCGAGUAACGAUUACAAAACCGCCCAACGAUUUCGCAUUCUUGCGCUUCGAACGUUUCUGGAUCCGAGGAUGAAACGGCGAGAGGAGACAGCUUCCCAUCCCGAUCGCACGCGAUUGGCGCGGGCGUACCGAGAUGACAUGGCUUUCGACCAAUCGCAUAGAUUGGGCGUCACUGCCCACUGGUUUCGUUCUUGCAAUAAUAUUUGCACUGGCACGUCUAAUCCAUUAAGGCUGCCGCCGUCGCCGAGCGGCGUUCGGUAAAUUAUUUUAUCGGCUCUUUCUCCGCAUACCGUCCUCUUCACACACUCGCUCCGUCUUCGUUACACGUAAGCGCAAAUAUAUUCUCUCUCCCACAAUUGGUCGGAUCCCUCUCCUCCCACCACACCUUUCUCCAUACGAUACGACGGGAGCAUCCCACAUGAGACGUACAUUCCACGAGAUGCGCUCGUUACACGUAACUGACAUCAUGAGCGCUCAAAACGAGAGAUUUGCUGUCGCAUUAAGUCCCCGUCUAAUCGUUCAUCUUAUCCGUAACAAUAAGUCGUAACAGCUAAGAGUCAAUAAUUUUCUGCGUCGUGUCGCGUUGAAUCUCUGCAUUAAUGUCACCUCAAGUAGUGCUUUUUAGCCUUGUUUAGAGUUAAGAUAGCCUAUUUUCCGUAAACGAUGACUUAAAUAAGCAAUAAUAAAAAAUUAAUCUUUUCUAAUUACGUUGAAUUUUACAGUACAAUGAUACGAUGUUCAAAUCAAUUUUUAGGUUUAUCAAUAAUUCGAUGAAAGCUUCGAAUGCUACCCAAAAUCCGAAAUUCUUAAAACUCUUGAAUAAUUUGAAAAUCUGAAAGAUUUUUCGUAAAAGUAUGAGUUUAAAUUAUGCAAUCUGUAAUUAAAAAUUUUCGGAGCAUCCUGCGUAAGAUAAAGAAUACUGAAUUGACAAACAAAAACAUGGCGGAAUGGUCACGUAAGCGGAUAUGCAGGAAUUAAAGAUAUCGACCUGAAGUAUUCAUCUUCAUUCAGGCUAGAUUCAAAAACAUCGAAUGUAUCAUUUUAAUCCUUGUUAUUCAUAGAAUGUUAAAUAAAGGAAAAAUGAUGUCUGAGUA